AUUGAACGCUGGCGGCAGGCCUAACACAUGCAAGUCGAGCGGAUGAAGGGAGCUUGUUCCUGGUUUCAGCGGCGGACGGGGGAGUGAUGCCCAGGUAUCUGACUGUUCGUGGGGGGUGACGUCCGGUAAUGGACGCUAAUACUACAUCCGACCAGAGUUGGAACGUGGGGGAUCUUCGGAUUCCGACCUAUUGGCUGACGCUAGGUCGUGUUAGCUAGUUGGUGGGGUAAAGGCAUACCAAGGCGACGAUCCAUAGCUGGUCUGAGAGGAUGAUCAGCCACACUGGAACUGAGACACGGUCCAGACUCCUACGGGAGGCAGCAGUGGGGAAUAUUGGACAAUGGGCGAAAGCCUGAUGCAGCCAUGCCGCGUGUGUGAAGAAGGUCUUCGGAUUGUAAAGCACUUUAAGUUGGGAGGAAGGGAAGUAAGUUAAUACCUUGCUGUUUUGACGUUACCCACAGAAUAAGCACCGGCUAACUUCGUG
rnacentral:rRNA from 1 species